UUCUCCCCUCACAAGUGGUUCAGGGUCAGGAACCAAAUAAUUUCAUCUUAAUUAUUAAGGUGAUGUGUAUAUUGACAUAAUGCGCAAAGAUGAUUUUCCAAAGUUGAGGAAACAUGUUAAUUUUACUAACAUGAGGGGGAGACAUGAUAAACACUUAUGAAAGUGUUACAUGGGAUGAAUUUUCAUUUGUAUAUGUAUAUCCCCGAAUAUCAUGAUAUGAA
rnacentral:lncRNA from 1 species